rnacentral:tRNA from 1 species
GCCUGAGUGGCUCAGUCGGUUGAGUGUUUGACUUCAGCUCACAUCAUGAUCUCAUGGUCUGUGGGUUCAAGCCCCGCAUCAGGCU